CUUAAUUUGACUCAACGCGGGAAAACUCACCCGGUCCGGACACUGUAAGGAUUGACAGAUUGAUAGCUCUUUCUUGAUUCGGUGGGUGGUGGUGCAUGGCCGUUCUUAGUUGGUGGAGCGAUUUGUCUGGUUAAUUCCGAUAACGAACGAGACUCUAGCCUAUUAAAUAGUUCGACGAUUUUCGAUAUGUCGUCGCAACUUCUUAGAGGGACGAGUGGCUUUUAGCCACACGAGAUUGAGCAAUAA
rnacentral:rRNA from 1 species